rnacentral:tRNA from 1 species
GCUUUGGUGGCGGUAAGGCGAACAUCGCUGCCCGGAAAGCAGAAGAUGCGGGUUCGAGUCCCGCUUGGCGCA